rnacentral:lncRNA from 1 species
GUAAGUAUGUUAAGCACAUAUAACACUGAACUCCACUCCAGUCCCUCCUUGGAUUCCUUUCAUCACACUGCAAAAGCAAACUUCUUUAAAAAAAAAAAAAAGCUUAACAGUCCAUUGAGCAAAAUUGUACAUGUAUUUUAAAAAAAGGGACAUAAGUCAUGUUUUUUUCUGUCUUCCAGUUAUUCUAAAUGAUACUGCAAAACAAUAGUAACAUAAGAAACAAAGAUUUCGGGCUGGAGAGAUUUUAUUACUCAAAACAAAGACUUGGAGAGUAAGCUUUUGAAGAAGUUAAAAUUUUGGCAAUGUUAUUUGUGCUGAGGACAGAACCCAGGGUUUAUGACACAGUUUAUUUACCACACAGGCUUUCUACCACUGAGCUAUAUCCCCUGCCACUGCACAUUUAAUAAGGUAUUUUUUAAAAAAAGAUUUGUUUUAUUUUAGGAGAGUUUUGCCUACAUGUAUGUAUGUUCACUAUGCUGGGUGCCCAAAGUGGUUAGAAGAGUGCAUCAGAUCCACUGAAACUGCAGUAAUAAGUGGGUGUGAGGUACCAUGUGGGUACUGGCAACGGAACCUGGGUCCUCUGCAAGAGCAGCCAGUGCUCUUAGCUAUCUCUCCUUGCCAAUUUAACUUUAAAAUGAUUUAUUUUAAAGUUACUAUGUAGGAUAUUAAUCUUGGUCCCAGGUAUUUGCUUUAAAUAUAUUUGCACACACAUAAAUAGUUUUGAUUUUCAUUUACUAUGAGGUGAUUCUAAAGCUUUGUACUAGUUUUUUUUUUGUUUUGUUUUUUGUUUUUUUUUUUAAAUAGCACAGCAAGAAGGAUGUCUGUUGUAUGGUCCUUACAGAAGACAGCUUGUACGAUUAUAUGCAUCUGUUUUGAGCAAUCUGCUACCAUUGUGAAGUAUUCCUCAUAAUCAUUCAGUUUGUUAUAGGUUGCACAUGAGAAGUCUUACUUCUUUAUCAUUUGCAAUGGUAGCCCCAAAUUCAGUGGAAACAUUUUUCUUUUUUAAUCACACCCUAAGGUCUUUACAGUGUUUCUAAUAUUAUUAUUCUAAUAUUAUUACAGAAUAAUAAAUUUAUUCUGUAAGGCUAAUAUUUAUCACCAGUGGGUCAGUCAAGCAGCUCCCAUGAGGGCCAGCUGUCUGAGCAGAUUUUUACCAAGGCAUAAGACUAGCCACUAGCCCAUCCAAAGGACAUCAUGUGGAACAAAAAACUUUAUAGGUAACUUUUUUGGUUUUUUGGUACUACUUUUUAAGUAACAGUUUUAAACUUAAGCUGGAAUGCAACUCUGCCCCCAUUUUUAACAACAGAUGUAAUGCCUAAGAGAUUAGAGGUGGGCAGGGCACUCAG